CCGCCGCUGCUAAAGCGGAGGAAGGAAUGGGCAACGGUAGGUCAGUAUGCCCCGAAUAUCCCGGGCUACACGCGAGCUACAAUGGUUGGUACAAUGGGUAUCUACCCCGAAAGGGGACCGGGAAUCUCCUAAAACCAAUCUUAGUUCGGAUUGAGGGCUGCAACUCGCCCUCAUGAAGCUGGAAUCCGUAGUAAUCGCGUUUCGACAGAACGCGGUGAAUACGUCCCUGCUCCUU
rnacentral:rRNA from 1 species